CAAGGAGGGAGCAAAGGCCUGGCAAGUGCAGGUUUUCUUUCCAAGUGUUGCAAGGGAAUGUCAUAGAGAGAAUUUGGUUCCUAAGCAGCCCUGUUAUCAGUAAGCUAAGAAAAUACAUUAGGAACUUGGAGAUAUUAAAUGCAUCAGGAAGAAGAAAAAAAAAUGGAUUAUGAUAUUUAAACCAGAAUUUUAAUUCCUGGUUUUGAUAUUGCCAGGGUUUCCAUUUCAUGUCAAAAUGGUGCACAUUAGAAUAAAAACCCUGGGAGAAGGGAGAAAGAUGUAAGCUACAAACACUGAAGGUGAUGCUGUCACAGAGUUGGGCCCAAUAUCCACUUCAGCCCUAACCUAAAACCACCAAGAGUUAAAACUUGGGAAGAGUGCCAUCAACACCAAAGGGAGCUGUGCUUUCCAGGAGUGCCUACACCACUCAAAGCCAGGACUUUGCUUCAAAUCUCAUCCCUCACUUCUGGGAUAAAAAGGGGGCUGCUCCAAGGCCACGGAUCAAGGACUGAGCAAGUCCAGGUCACAGUUUUGAAUGUUCCUGCUCAGGACAUGCUAAAGGUAAAAAGGAUAUUUUAAUUUUCUUCUUUUCUUGAGGUAAUUUUGUGACUUAUGAGUCAAACAACCUAC
rnacentral:lncRNA from 1 species